ACUCAAAUGAAUUGACGGGGGCCCGCACAAGCGGCGGAGCAUGCGGAUUAAUUCGAUGCAACGCGAAGAACCUUACCAAGGCUUGACAUGACCGAGAACACCCUGGAAACAGGGGACUCUUUGGACACUCGGUUACAGGUGGUGCAUGGUUGUCGUCAGCUCGUGUCGUGAGAUGUUGGGUUAAGUCCCGCAACGAGCGCAACCCUCGUCGCAUGUUGCCAGCACGUUAUGGUGGGGACUCAUGUGAGACUGCCGGGGUCAACUCGGAGGAAGGUGGGGAUGACGUCAAAUCAUCAUGCCCCUUAUGUCUUGGGCUUCACGCAUGCUACAAUGGCCGGUACAAAGGGCUGCGAUGUCGUAAGGCGGAGCGAAUCCCAAAAAGCCGGUCUCAGUUCGGAUUGAGGUCUGCAACUCGACCUCAUGAAGUCGGAGUCGCUAGUAAUCGCAGAUCAGCAACGCUGCGGUGAAUACGUUCCCGGGCCUUGCACACACCGCCCGU
rnacentral:rRNA from 1 species